rnacentral:rRNA from 1 species
UACGUAGGGUGCGAGCGUUAAUCGGAAUUACUGGGCGUAAAGCGUGCGCAGGCGGUGAUGUAAGUCCGGUGUGAAAUCCCCGGGCUUAACCUGGGAACUGCAUUGGAGACUGCAUCGCUCGAGUAUGGCAGAGGGGGGUAGAAUUCCACGUGUAGCAGUGAAAUGCGUAGAGAUGUGGAGGAAUACCGAUGGCGAAGGCAGCCCCCUGGGACAAUACUGACGCUCAGGCACGAAAGCGUGGGGAGCAAACAGG